AAAUGCAUAAUUUCUAGAUCUUUUAAUGUAAUGUCUUAAUGUGUCUAACAUAUUCAAAUACCUAAUCACAUGAGUGCAUACACACUAAACCAACUGAAUUCAGCCAUCAUGUCUGCAGCCUUUAGGGAAACACAGACCUGGCUGAAUAUUCAGGUGGUCUGCCUCACCUUUUAUGUAUUUCUCUCUGUAGAAUGUUCUGUCAAUCAGAGACUCUCCUCACUCCUCGCCCAGCAUGACCUUCAACCAAAGCUUCUCUUUUGAGGCUGUGAAGGAAUCUGUCUCUGGAGUGAAGGUGCAGCUGGAUGACAUCUUCAGGCAGGAAGUAGUCAAGAUAUCUGCAGCAGUAAAGAAUAUCCAGAUCAUCCAGUCCUUAAAAUCUGAUCCUGAGCUCCCAGUCAGAAGAACAAAC